ACUGAAACUCUUGGCAGUGAAGACCGAUUCAGACGGAAUCAGAAUACGUGGAAGUUUUGCCGCAAGUUUUGAACAGACAUUUAAACAAAUAGGCGGGAACAACUGUGACGUUAUCAGUGUGACUUCGUACAGCUGCUUGCUACUCUGUUUGUCGUGUGUGUCUCAGUUAUGUUUGCUUUUAGCCUCCAGUGUAAAUGAACCCACAGAGAAUGACCUUACUUAGAUAGCAAAGUCGCCGCAUUUCAGAAGUAAGCAUGUGGUUACCGCGCCCGCUUAUCCCAGCUCGCUUAUUGGUUCGCUGCAGCAAUAGAACGUAGUUGGAAACUGAAUAAUUUCCGCUUGUUUGGUACGGUUUGUAUUGCGUUGCUACGCAAUGAAACAGAUUGGAUUUAGUUGUAAAGGCAUCGUUCAAAGAGUAGCGUUAACUGUUAACAUAUGCUAAGUUGGUUUUACAGUGCAAAGUGAUUAUGCCUUUCAAUGUACUGUUGUUUUAACGCUAAACAGGUAAAGCGUAGGCCUACUUACAACAUGCGCAGUAAACGAGAAAACAAGCAAGGUAGAAUAGAAUAGAAGGUAGAACGCAGCAAACGCAGACUGAAAGUCGUCAGUGUCAUUUACAUACAUUCCAUGUUGUUUCAAAAGGUAUUUUACCAAGAUCGUUUCAUACAAGACUGUUUUUAAGUUUCUGAAGAUCGUUAGAACGUUCAUUAUGAUGGCUGGAUGUAAUUCAACGUUUCGGUUAGCUAAUCCCCACCUCUCGGAUAAGGAAACGCUCUAUCACCUUGGAAUUUCAACUGAUGAUAAUUUACAACAGCGUUUCGGCGACGUUAAGUAUGUUUGCCUGGGAGGCAAAAACAAACGAAUGGAAAAUUUCGCGAACUUGUUAUAUCGUGAUCUUGGCUAUCCAGACAAUAGCGAGGUAGAUGACGCAUCUAAACCUAAAG